GAUGAACGCUGGCGGCGUGCCUAAUACAUGCAAGUAGAACGCUGAAGGAGGAGCUUGCUCUUCUGGAUGAGUUGCGAACGGGUGAGUAACGCGUAGGUAACCUGCCUGGUAGCGGGGGAUAACUAUUGGAAACGAUAGCUAAUACCGCAUGACAACAGUUAUUGCAUGAUAACUGUUUAAAAGGGGCAACUGCUCCACUACCAGAUGGACCUGCGUUGUAUUAGCUAGUUGGUGAGGUAACGGCUCACCAAGGCGACGAUACAUAGCCGACCUGAGAGGGUGAUCGGCCACACUGGGACUGCAACACGGCCCAGACUCCUACGGGAGGCAGCAGUAGGGAAUCUUCGGAAAUGGACGGAAGUCUGACCGAGCAACGCCGCGUGAGUGAAGAAGGUUUUCGGAUCGUAAAGCUCUGUUGUAAGAGAAGAACGAGUGUGAGAGUGGAAAGUUCACACUGUGACGGUAUCUUACCAGAAAGGGACGGCUAACUACGUG
rnacentral:rRNA from 1 species